rnacentral:rRNA from 1 species
UGACGAGUGGCGGACGGGUGGGUAAUGUCGGGGGAAACGGGGUGAUGAGGGGGGAUACACUAGGGGAAGACGGUGAGUCUAGAUGCCGCAUAACGUCGCAAGACGAAGGAGGGGGACCUUAGGGCGCUCUUGCCAUCGGGAUGUGCCCAGAUGGGAGUUAGCUAGUAGGUGGGGUAACGGCUCACCUAGGCGACGAUCCCUAGCUGGUCUGAGAGGAUGACCAGCCACACUGGAACUGAGACACGGUCCAGACUCCUACGGGAGGCAGCAGUGGGGAAUAUUGCACAAUGGGCGCAAGCCUGAUGCAGCCAUGCCGCGUGUAUGAAGAAGGCCUUCGGGUUGUAAAGUACUUUCAGCGGGGAGGAAGGGAGUAAAGUUAAUACCUUUGCUCAUUGACGUUACCCGCAGAAGAAGCACCGGCUAACUCCGUGCCAGCAGCCGCGGUAAUACGGAGGGUGCAAGCGUUAAUCGGAAUUACUGGGCGUAAAGCGCACGCAGGCGGUUUGUUAAGUCAGAUGUGAAAUCCCCGGGCUCAACCUGGGAACUGCAUCUGAUACUGGCAAGCUUGAGUCUCGUAGAGGGGGGUAGAAUUCCAGGUGUAGCGGUGAAAUGCGUAGAGAUCUGGAGGAAUACCGGUGGCGAAGGCGGCCCCCUGCACGAAGACUGACGCUCAGGUGCGAAAGCGUGGGGAGCAAACAGGAUUAGA